CCUGCAGCUACCCAUGACUAAACGGGAUGUUAUCCUGAUAGAGCGAGAUCUGGGCUACUUCUGGGAUAUUAUCUCUAAGUUCUACGAGUUAGGAAAGGACACGGUCUGUCACAAGAGUCUGAUUGAGAUUUUGGAAAUGCUCAGUUUGCCAGGUGCCAUGCUACAUGUAGUGAACGUUGCAAGACAGACAUUCUGCGGAGGAUACUACGACUGAAGCUAAUCAUGAAAUUGUUAAAUGUAAUUAAUUAAUUAAUUAUUUUAAUUGUAAUUAAUUAUAUUAA